rnacentral:lncRNA from 1 species
CUCUGAGGAAGAAACCACCAUUCAAGUUGGAGUGCGGUUAACAUCAAAAGGAGAACGGUGAGAAUGGAGUCUCCCCAAAAUUACUCUGAGCAUCACAGCUGCGUUAGAACAACGGUCAGCAUGCAUACAAAAGGACCUAAACCACAUUCUCCUCGUCCCGGCCGGCCGUCACCCUAGAGCAAGCACAGUUCUUCCUUCAGCUCCUCUCCUGCUCACCAUGGCUCAGCUGAAAUCAUUGCCUAUGAGAUAACCACUCACGGUUUCCCAUCACCACAGUGUUCUCAUGGCCUGCCAAACGAGAACUUGCAGGCCUAGCAUGUAAAGGGACCAGGGAAGGAGGCAGAGUGGGGCCUGCUGUUGAGGCUGGCUGCUUCUGUGUUCUCUGCCUGUGCCAGGCUGCGUAUGGUCUUCACUUGCCGUCUUUGAACUGAGAGAACCUCAGCUGCUUCUGGAAUCCAUUUUGUCCGUAGAGUGGAUAGAAGCCCCUGAAUCGUAUUUCUGGAGGCAGCCCUACCCAGCCACUGCCAGGAAAUUACCAAGCAUGUCCUGAAGAUGAAGAUACUCUCAGCCUAACGUCUCCAAGCAAAUAUUGAUUCAGCAGUAUCCCCAGGCAAAGCCACACCAUAUAUCAGUGAACAGAGAAACAACUGCCCUUCUCCGGGCCCCUGUCUGAGAAGCUGGAGCAUCAGCCCUGGAGCUCUCCGGAGCAGUUUCCUUGCUCACUGUCCCCAGCUGAACACAGCCGCAUGCAGAGGUCCAAAGCACGUAAACAGGAUACCCACCCUGCAUUAUCUUAUAUUUUAAGUCAAUAUGAAGAUGGACAUUCUACCCCUGAGACCAAUUUCGAUCAAAUACUUUUGUCAAUAAAAAGAUACUAAUGUCCGAGUGUGUCCAUUCCUCCUGUUGGUCUGGGUUCUGCUUCUCCACACACCAGCUGCCUCCAAGAGAGGCUUCCAUACUCCAGCAGCUCCUGGUCAGCCUGCACUU